CCGACAACCAGCUCAAGGGAGUGGGCGUUUAUGCACAUGUGUGGGAGUGUAUGCUCACACAGAUGUCAGGUGGGCGUUGAUGCACGUGUGUGGGGGUGUGUGCACACGUGUGUGCAAAAGCAUUUGUGUCCAUCCACAUACUCACACUUGUGUGCCCAUGUCCAUAUAGGCUGAGGGUGGAGGCCAGGGUUAAAAUGUCAGGUGGGGGCUGCAAUUCUGGAAAAAUUUCUUUCUUGCCCCCUUGUCAGCCUCUUCACCUCCAACUCCUUCUCCGUGAUUGAGGAUGAUGCAUUUGCGGGCCUGUCCCACCUGCAGUACCUAUCUACAAAGGGCCCGGAUAACCAGAGCCUGAUUCUGGCUCUACCUGACUCAUGGAAACCCAGGAAGGGUGUAAAGAAGUCAGAGACAAGAAACGUUUCAAAUGACCAGGAAACAACUCUGAAUUAGCUUCAUCGAGGACAAUGAGAUUGGCUCCAUCUCUAAGAAUGCCCUCAGAGGACUUCGCUCACUUACACACCUAAGCCUGGCCAAUAACCAUCUGGAGACCCUCCCCAGAUUCCUGUUCCGAGGCCUGGACACCCUUACUCACGGACCUCCGCGGGAACCCGUUCCAGUGUGACUGCCGCAUCCUCUGGCUCCUGCAGUGGAUGCCCACCGUGAACGCCAGCGUGGGGACCGGCGCCUGUGCGGGCCCCGCCGCCCUGAGCCACUUGCAGCUCCACCACCUCGACCCCAAGACCUUCAAGUGCAGAGCCAUAGAGCUGUCCUGGUUCCAGACGGUGGGGGAGUCGGCACUGAGCGUAGAGCCCUUCUCCUACCAAGGGGAGCCUCACAUUGUGCUGGCACAGCCCUUCGCUGGCCGCUGCUUGAUUCUCUCCUGGGACUACAGCCUGCAGCGCUUCCGGCCCGAGGAAGAGCUGCCCGGUGAGCCCCCUCCCCGUCCUUCUGCCUGUCCAGCAGCCUGCCUGGCUGGCCUGACCUGCCUCCCCACCUCCCCACAGCGGCCUCCGUGGUGUCCUGCAAGCCACUGGUGCUGGGCCCGAGCCUCUUCGUGCUGGCUGCCCGCCUGUCGGGGG
rnacentral:sRNA from 1 species